rnacentral:rRNA from 1 species
ACGAACGCUGGCGGCAUGCCUAACACAUGCAAGUCGAACGAACUCUUCGGAGUUAGUGGCGCACGGGUGCGUAACGCGUGGGAAUCUGCCCCUUGGUUCGGAAUAACAGUUAGAAAUGACUGCUAAUACCGGAUGAUGUCUUCGGACCAAAGAUUUAUCGCCAAGGGAUGAGCCCGCGUAGGAUUAGGUAGUUGGUGGGGUAAAGGCCUACCAAGCCGACGAUCCUUAGCUGGUCUGAGAGGAUGAUCAGCCACACUGGGACUGAGACACGGCCCAGACUCCUACGGGAGGCAGCAGUGGGGAAUCUUGCGCAAUGGGGGCAACCCUGACGCAGCCAUACCGCGUGAGUGAUGAAGGUCUUCGGAUUGUAAAGCUCUUUCGGCGGGGACGACGAUGACGGUACCCGCAAAAGAAGUCACGGCUAACUUCGU